GAGAGUCCUGCACUGUCACAGCGCUGAGAACAAAAAGGAAAAGGUUUGUGCAAACUCUGAUGCAUCUUCUUAAAGGAAAUAUUGGGACAGGCCUUUUAGGACUCCCAUUGCAAUUAAAAAUGCAGGCGUAGUGCUUGGGCCAAUCAGCCUUGUGUUCACAGGAAUCAUUUCCAUUCACUGUACGCACAUACUGGUACGUUGCAGUCACUUUCUGUGCCAGAGGUAAAUGUGGAUUCAUUAAAUCUAAUUUAUUUUAAAGCUGUGUGCUUAUUUAGAGCAUCGUAGCCUUGUAUGUCUGUGCUUUUCAACCAGAGGCUGUAUUUCCUUUCAUCUGUAUGUAGACACAUC